rnacentral:sRNA from 1 species
GUGAUUUUGAAAUCCUUUAAACGUCUUUUUAUUAUCGAUUACACAACCAAAGGAAGAUGGUGCGAAACAGUACGACGAAAGAGGAGAGGGCGAAAUAGUGCAACCCACUGCGAGUGCAAAACAGUGUGGUCGACGGCUGACGGAAAUCGCGAGCGACUUAGAGCAAAGUGCUGGGUGAAUCGCAGGAGAUGAAGGAAGAAGACAAGCUUCGUAUGUGCGCCUAAAUCAGAAAACCCUAAUCUGUUGUCACACGUAGGUGCUUUGCUGAGGAGGUUUUUGCCGGAUCUUGUUAAUUACCAAAUUAGUCCAGCUCCGCUCUGUCCGAUUGUCGUUUGUGAUCGCGCUUGGUCGGUUGCUGAUCGUGGUCGUCGUCGCUCAUUUAGUCACCGUUCGUGAUCGAAAGGUACAGACUCUAAAGAUAAAUUCCUAGAAUGCCUAGCUAAUCUAUGAAAAGUCCUAUCAUUUUUAGGAUCAAAGGAUGGUAAUGGUCCAGGAUUGCCCCUAGUCAUGCAUUUAGUCUACACAUAUAAAAAAAAGUCAACACAAUGAAACAUAUGGGGAUAAACUGCAAGUAUAUGCAAACCUUAUCCAAAUGAACUGAAAUUGUGUGAUCAACACCCUAAAAUCAUGAAAAGAUAGCACAAAAAAUUUCAAAGCAAAUUCAAAGUAUAACUAUGUCAACCAAUGCAAGAAAAUAUGAAAAAUAGGGAAAAUAAAACUUCAAAAAUAAAAAAGAAAUAAAAAACAACCUCUUUUUAUAAUUGGAGGUAGGGGCAAUUGGCAUAGAAGCUGGAAUGGAUUACUUGUGUUUUUCUAUCUAAAAAGCAUAUAUAAUACGUCCAAUUCUGAC